rnacentral:lncRNA from 1 species
UAUAUUUAGCCUUGACCCUAAACUGUUAUUAAGGUUAUUUCUUGACUACACUUAUCUAGCUACUUGACUGUACCUCCAUGUCCCAUUCUUUUAGUUGGCGCAUUUGGUCUCUGAAUCGUUUUAUUUUUCAUUGUUCUUCUUUCUCUUAUUUUCUUACUAAUUGCAAACUUUUCAUUUCCAUUAGAUUGAUUUCUAAUGCAAAGCUCCAUUAAAGAUUAAGGCUUUUGUGCAAUCUUUAGUUUUUUUGGUGGGCUAAACAUACAAAUGACAUGCACUAGAGGCUAGAUCCUAUAAAUUCUUAUCUCCUGACACGUGCACGAUUUGUUUGUCGGAUUGUGAGACUCAUUCUCACCUCUUUCUCCAUCACUAGGCAACUUUUGUAUUUUUUGUUUGAUUUGUUGAAGGCAUUGUUGGGUUUGUUCUGCUAGUGUGGAGAGCCUCAUUCUUUGCAGAUUUUGGGUCAUUGGUGGCAACUAGGAUGGCAUGAUCUCGUGAAGAUGUGUGUUUUGCAAUUUUAUGAGGUGUAUAGAUAGAGUGGUGCUAACAAUUAAUUGACUGAUCUAUGAAGUCUGCAUCCUUUUGGGAUAGUAGAUCUUCUUUAUGCUUCAUUGUGGGCCUGUUGUUUUCCAUUGAGGGUCUUGCGGAUUUCCCCCCACUUUUUUUAAUUCUUUUCUGCGACUCUUUGCUUUUUGCCUUGUAUCUUUUUUCUUUUUGAUUCUUGACUCUUUGCUUUUUGCCUUGACCCUAAACUGUUAUUAAGGUUAUUUCUUGACUACACUUAUCUAGCUACUUGACUGUACCUCCAUGUCCCAGUCUUUUAGUUGGCGCAUUUGGUCUCUGAAUCGUUUUAUUUUUCAUUGUUCUUCUUUCUCUUAUUUUCUUACUAAUUGCAAACUUUUCAUUUCCAUUAGAUUGAUUUCUAAUGCAAAGCUCCAUUAAAGAUUAAGGCUUUUGUGCAAUCUUUAGUUUUUUUGGUGGGCUAAACAUACAAAUGACAUGCACUAGAGGCUAGAUCCUAUAAAUUCUUAUCUCCUAACACAUGCACGAUUUGUUUGUCGGAUUGUGAGACUCAUUCUCACCUCUUUCUCCAUCACUAGGCAACUUUUGUGUUUUUUGUUUGAUUUGUUGAAGGCAUUGUUGGGUUUGUUCUGCUAGUGUGGAGAGCCUCAUUCUUUGCAGAUUUUGGGUUAUUGGUGGCAACUAGGAUGGCAUGAUCUCGUGAAGAUGUGUGUUUUGCAAUUUUAUGAGGUGUAUAGAUAUAGUGGUGCUAACAAUUAAUUGAUUGAUCUAUGAAGUGUGCAUCCUUGUAGGAUAGUAGAUCUUCUUUAUGCCUCAUUGUGGGCCUGUUGUUUUCCAUUGAGGGUCCUGCAGAUUUUCCCCACUUUUUUUAAUUCUUUUCUGCUAUUCUUGACUGCCUUUACUUUUUUCCAUGUAUCUUUUUUCUUUUGGCUCUCAAAUAAUAUCUUCUUUAUCUAAAAAUUAAUUUAGCAAUCAUAUUGUUCUCAAUGCCUUACUUCUUUGAGCCAAGUGUGAAGACCCC